UGAAGGCCUUCGGGUUGUAAAGCACUUUCGCACGUGACGAUGAUGACGGUAACGUGAGAAGAAGCCCCGGCUAACUUCGUGC
rnacentral:rRNA from 1 species